rnacentral:rRNA from 1 species
CCGCGUGUGUGAAGAAGGCCUUCGGGUUGUAAAGCACUUUAAGUGGGGAGGAAGGUCUGCGCGUUAAUAGCGCGCAGGAUUGACGUUACCCACAGAAUAAGCACCGGCUAACUCCGUGCCAGCAGCCGCGGUAAUACGGAGGGUGCAAGCGUUAAUCGGAAUUACUGGGCGUAAAGCGCACGUAGGUGGUUUGGUAAGUUGGAUGUGAAAGCCCUGGGCUCAACCUGGGAACUGCAUUCAAAACUGCCGGACUCGAGUACGAUAGAGGGGGGUAGAAUUUCAGGUGUAGC